GACGAACGCUGGCGGCGUGCUUAACACAUGCAAGUCGAACGGAAAGGCCCUGCUUUUGUGGGGUGCUCGAGUGGCGAACGGGUGAGUAACACGUGAGUAACCUGCCCUUGACUUUGGGAUAACUUCAGGAAACUGGGGCUAAUACCGGAUAGGAGCUCCUGCUGCAUGGUGGGGGUUGGAAAGUUUCGGCGGUUGGGGAUGGACUCGCGGCUUAUCAGCUUGUUGGUGGGGUAGUGGCUUACCAAGGCUUUGACGGGUAGGCGGCCUGAGAGGGUGACCGGCGACAUUGGGACUGAGAUACGGCGCAGACUCCUACGGGAGGCAGCAGUGGGGAAUAUUGCACAAUGGGCGGAAGCCUGAUGCAGCAACGCCGCGUGCGGGAUGACGGCCUUCGGGUUGUAAACCGCUUUCGCCUGUGACGAAGCGUGAGUGACGGUAAUGGGUAAAGAAGCACCGGCUAACUACGUG
rnacentral:rRNA from 1 species